AUUGAACGCUGGCGGUAUGCCUUACACAUGCAAGUCGAACGGUAGAGGGGCAACCCUUGAGAGUGGCGAACGGGUGAGUAAUACAUCGGAACGUGCCCAGUCGUGGGGGAUAACGUAGCGAAAGUUACGCUAAUACCGCAUACGCACUGAGGUGGAAAGCAGGGGAUCGCAAGACCUUGCGCUAUACGAGCGGCCGAUGUCAGAUUAGCUAGUUGGUAGGGUAAAGGCCUACCAAGGCGACGAUCUGUAGCGGGUCUGAGAGGAUGAUCCGCCACACUGGGACUGAGACACGGCCCAGACUCCUACGGGAGGCAGCAGUGGGAAUAUUGGACAAUGGGCGCAAGCCUGAUCCAGCCAUGCCGCGUGAGUGAUGAAGGCCUUAGGGUUGUAAAGCUCUUUCAGUGGGGACGAUAAUGACGGUACCCACAGAAGAAGCCCCGGCUAACUUCGUG
rnacentral:rRNA from 1 species